rnacentral:misc_RNA from 1 species
CCAAUAGCGUAUAUUAAAGUUGUUGUGGUUAAAAAGCUCGUAGUUGAACCUUGGGCCUGGCUGGCCGGUCCGCCUCACCGCGUGUACUGGUCCGGCCGGGCCUUCCCCUCUGUGGAACCUCAUGCCCUUCACUGGGUGUGACGGGGAAGCAAGACUUUUACUGUGAAAAAAUUAGAGUGCUCCAAGCAGGCCUAUGCUCGAAUACAUUAGCAUGGAAUAAUAAAAUAGGACGUGCGGUUCUAUUUUGUUGGUUUCUAGGACCGCCGUAAUGAUUAAUAGGGACAGUCGGGGGCAUCAGUAUUCAAUUGUCAGAGGUGAAAUUCUUGGAUUUAUUGAAGACUAACUACUGCGAAAGCAUUUGCCAAGGAUGUUUUCAUUAAUCAGGAACGAAAGUUAGGGGAUCGAAGACGAUCAGAUACCGUCGUAGUCUUAACCAUAAACGAUGCCAACCAGCGAUUAGCCUGAGUUCCUUAAAUGACUCGGCUAGCAGCUUCCG